rnacentral:misc_RNA from 1 species
GUGAAUCAUCGAAUCUUUGAACGCAAAUUGCACUUUCUGGUAUUCCGGCAAGGAUGACUGCUUGUGGGUAAGUUAAAUAAAAAUCGGUGUUGUUGCUGCCUUUCGUGGUGACGAGUCGGUAUUGAGUAGUCUUACACUCGGUUAAGUGACAUCAAAUUUUGCAUGAUUUUCGAAAGUAUUUAAAUUUCUUAUGUUCGUUUGAGA